ensembl:lncRNA
AUGACACAAUGGCUAUAUCAUCCUAGCUGCCUGCUAGUAAAACUUAAUUUGCGAAACAAAUUACAGAAACUGUCACAGAAAGUGGCCCAGCAGCAACAACCCCCUCAUUCUCCCCUGAUGCAGACUUGAGACAAGAGGGGCCUGCUGUUGUAGAUAAAGAAGAUGUGAUAGAGGAUGAUGGAAGUGAUGAGCAAAGAGAAGAAGGCAGUGUACAUGAAGGUUGCAUUCAGCAUGGAGAGGAGGAUAGAGAAGAAGGCAGUGUACAUGAAG